GACGAACGCUGGCGGCGUGCCUAAUACAUGCAAGUCGAACGCAGUGGGGACGGGUGAGUAACACGUGGGUAACCUCCCAUCAGAUGGGAUAACACUUGGAAACAGGUGCUAAACCGAUACGCAUGGAUGGACCCGCGGUGCAUUGGCUAGUUGGUGAGGUAAAGGCUAACCAAGGCCACGAUGCAUAGCCGACAUGAGAGGGUGAUGAGCCAAACUGGGACGGAGAAAAGGCCCAGACGCCUACGGGAGGCAGCAGGAGGGAAUCUUCGGCAAUGGACGAAAGGUUGACCGAGCAACGCCGCGUGAGUGAAGAAGGUUUUCGGAUCGUAAACUCUGUUGUUAGAGAAGCGGUAUCUAACCAGAAAGCCACGGCUAACUACGUGCCAGCAGCCGCGGUAAUAC
rnacentral:rRNA from 1 species